AAAGUCGUAACAAGGUUUCCGUAGGUGAACCUUCGGAAGGAUCAUUAUCGAAAUGCAGGCUGGUCCGGCGCCGGCGGGCAUAAGACUGCGGUCUUUGCCCCCGGUUUCGGGCUGGCGUUCCACGCAUUCUACCACCCUUGACUUUGAGCACCGUUUUGUUUCCUCGGCAGGGACGCCUGCCAGCGGGGACCCAUCGAACACUUGCAGUAGCAGUAUUUGUCUGAGAAAAACACAAAAAUUAAAACUUUCAACAAUGGAUCUCUUGGUUCUG
rnacentral:misc_RNA from 1 species